rnacentral:rRNA from 1 species
AACGUGCCCAGUCGUGGGGGAUAACGCAGCGAAAGCUGUGCUAAUACCGCAUACGAUCUAUGGAUGAAAGCGGGGGACUCGUAAGGGCCUCGCGCGAUUGGAGCGGCCGAUAUCAGAUUAGCUAGUUGGUGGGGUAAAAGCCCACCAAGGCGACGAUCUGUAGCUGGUCUGAGAGGACGACCAGCCACACUGGAACUGAGACACGGUCCAGACUCCUACGGGAGGCAGCAGUGGGGAAUUUUGGACAAUGGGCGCAAGCCUGAUCCAGCAAUGCCGCGUGCAG